UAAUGUAAUUACACUGUGAAAAAAUGCAGUGUCAAUAUUUCAGAGUCAAGUUAUUUUAACCGAGAUAGAGUAUUUUUAGCUCUAUGGAGGUAAACCAGCUCUAAGAGUAGAGUUAAAAGUCAGUGUGCAGUGUAAAAUUCAACUCU